rnacentral:rRNA from 1 species
AAAUUUGAAAUCUGGCUCCUUCGGGGCCCGAGUUGUAAUUUGUAGAGGAUGCUUCGGCGUCGGCGCCGCCCAAAGUUCCUUGGAACGGGACGUCAUAGAGGGUGAGAGCCCCGUGUCCGGGUGGAUGCCUUCGCCAUGUGAAGCUCCUUCGACGAGUCGAGUUGUUUGGGAAUGCAGCUCAAAAUGGGAGGUAAAUUUCUUCCAAAGCUAAAUACCGGCUGGAGACCGAUAGUGCACAAGUAGAGUGAUCGAAAGAUGAAAAGCACUUUGGAAAGAGAGUCAAACAGCGCGUGAAAUUGUUGAAAGGGAAGCGCUUGUGGUCAGACUUGGCCGUCGUUGCUCGAGGGGAUCUCGUGUCCCUUUUGCUCUUCGGCGGCUGGGCCAGCAUCGACUCGGGCGGCUGGAUAAAGGCUGCGGGAACGUGGCUCCCUCCGGGGAGUGUUAUAGCCCGCGGUGCAAUGCAGCCAGCCUGGGUCGAGGUCUGCGCAUCUGCUAGGAUGCUGGCGUAAUGGCCCCAAGCGGCCCGUCUUGAAACACGGACCCCUGUGUGAAAUU